AUCGACUUAUUAACUUACUCAUACAGAAAGUUUUCUCCUGCAUUACUGAACUAUGUCUCCCCUAGUUUUAGCAUCUCAAGUUCACGAGCCAGAGACUGGUGUUGAUGUUAAGCUACCUCUAGCUUAUUAUGAGUAUGCCCCAUGCAUUUGGAACGAUCAUUUUCUCUCUUAUUCUACCACGGAAGUUGACAUUAAACUGGAGCAACACGUUCAAGAAUUGAAAGAAGAGGUGAAGAGAAUUCUAAAGGAUCCCGCUAAUGUAUCUGGUUUGCAACAAAUAGACUUGGUUAAUGACCUUCAACGUUUAGGCAUGGCCUAUCAUUUUGAAAAUGAGAUUGAUGAGAUUUUGAAACAAAUUCACCACAACUACUCUUGUGGUACUGAUGAUGAUGACCUUUACACUACUGCUCUGCGUUUUCGAUUGCUUAGACAACAUGGUUAUAACAUUUCAUGUGAUAUAUUCAACAAGUUCAAGGAUGGAAAUCAUCAGACAUUUAAGGCAUCUCUUCAGAGUGAUGUAUCAGGACUAUUAAGCUUGUACGAAGCCACCCAUCUUAGGGUACACGGAGAAGAGAUACUCGAAGAGGCACUAGCCUUCACCACCACUCAUCUUGAGUCGAUCAAACACAGUUUAAGCCCUCCACUUUCGAAUCUAGUAUCCCAUUCCUUGAAUCAGCCACUUCGAACAGGCGUGGCGAGGGUGGAAGCAAGACAUUACUUGUCGAUCUACCAGGACUGCGAUUCACAUAACGAGACUCUCCGAACUCUUGCAAAGUUGGACUUCAACUUAGUGCAACAACUCCAUCAGAAGGAGCUAUGUGAAAUAACAAGGUGGUGGAAGAACUUGGACGUGAAAAACAAGCUACCAUUUGUAAGAGACAGAAUUACCGAAGUUUACUUCAUCUGGGUUUUGUCAGUGUACUUCGAACCACAAUUUUCCUUUGCUAGGAGGACAUCCUGCAAAGUCACUGCAAUAUUAUCUAUUAUCGAUGACAUUUAUGAUACCCAGGGCACACUCGAAGAACUAGAGCUCUUCACUGAAGCUAUUCAGAGGUGGGAUAUCUGUGCCAUAGAUCCAUUGCCAGAUUAUAUGAAAGUUUUUUAUAAGGCAAUGUUAGAAAUCUACAUCGAAAAUUGAAGAAGAGCUCGCAAAGGAGGGAAACUUGUAUCGAAUCCACUACGCCAUAGAAGCUAUGAAAAGGCAAGCAGCAUAUUACUUCCAUGAAGCAAAAUUGUUGCAACAGAAACACAUACCAACGUUGGAUGAAUACAUGGACCUAGCACUACCGAGCACGGCCUACCAUAUGCUAAUAACAACAGCCUUUGUUGGAAUGGGAGAUAUUGCAACGCAAGACUCCUUCGAUUGGUUGGCCACUUAUCCCAGGGCUGUAAAAGGAGCUGAAGUAGUUUGCCGACUUAUGGAUGACAUAGCGGACUACAAGUUUGAGCUAGAGAGAGGAACUGAUAUCUCAUCUGUGGAGUGCUACUUGAAAGAACAUGGUGCCACAGAAGAAGAAGCAAUGACUGAAUUGCGUAGAAGACUGAGUGACGCAUGGAAGGACAUAAACGAAUCGUUCUUCCUUCCUAAUGCUCUUCCGAGGCCGCUACUAACUCGAGUUCUUAACUUUGCUUGUGCCAUGGAUGUUGCAUACAAGUAUGAAGAUAGUUACACUACUCAUCAUUCGAGUAUACUCAAGGAUUUUAUAAUUCCUACUCUUGUAGAAUCCGUUCCUUUAUAAGUUUUCAAAUCCUGCAGUUUCUUUUAUAUGAUCUUAUGGCUGGCCGCUCUUAGUCUAUGAAAACUGGAUUAUAUCGAGCUUCUGAUUCUAUUUUACUUCUUCAAACACCCGACUGUUGGGUAAUGUACUGCCAUCAAUAAACUUUCUAUUUAAAU